rnacentral:misc_RNA from 1 species
UUUCCGUAGGUGAACCUGCGGUAGGAUCAUUCAUAAUAAAGUGUUUUAUGGCACUUUUUAAAAAUCCAUAUCCACCUUGUGUGCAAUGUUAGAUCUCGUCAAUCUUGGCGAGAUUUUUAUACAUCAACUCAUUCUUUAACUAAUUUGUCUGAAAAAUAUUAUGAAUACUUAAUUCAAAAUACAACUUUCAACAACGGAUCUCUUGGCUCUCGCAUCAUGAAGAACGCAGC